rnacentral:lncRNA from 10 species
ACUGGAUCUGCUGCGCCUGCCAGAAGACCAGCCGCCGUGCCAAGUCCCCUCAGAGGCCCAAGCAACAGCCAGCUGCGCCCCCCGCGGUGGUCAGAGCGCCAGCCAAGCCACGGUCCCCUCCGAGGUCUGAGCGUCAGCCACGGUCCCCUCCGAGGUCUGAGCGUCAGCCACGGUCCCCUCCGAGGUCUGAGCGUCAGCCACGGUCCCCUCCGAGGUCUGAGCGUCAGCCACGUCCCCGCCCAGAGGUCCGACCACCGCCAGCCAAGCAGCGUCCCCCUCAGAAGUCCAAGCAACAGCCGCGCAGCAGCCCCCUCAGAGGGCCAGGCGCCAGCCGUGGGGGGUCCCCCGUCAAAGCUUCUAGAUUGAAAAGGAAGAUCAGGCCAACCCCAAAGAAGAAGUGACCAAGGAGGAGUUUAAACUGAAUGAACAACCUCGGCUCCUGGACUCAUUGCUUCACAACCCAUCUACCCCUGGAUGAAGUUAUCUGGCUUCAAAUAUUAUGCAGGGGCAAACACCUGCUGAUGUGGCAACUGCUGAUGCUCAUGGUCCCCAUGGCAUGGGGGCCUCAGGGCAGCCUGCCUGGAGUACUUUGAAGAUGUCAUCCCAUUGUCUUCUGACCUCUAUAAUUGCCACUGAGAGAUCUGCUGUCAGUCUGCUUAUCCUUCCACGGACUCAAGUUUCUUCAAUCUGAAGAUACAUGUCUUUCUCCAGGGACAUGUGG